rnacentral:rRNA from 1 species
AGUGAACGCUGGCGGUAGGCCUAACACAUGCAAGUCGAACGGCAGCACAGUAAGAGCUUGCUCUUACGGGUGGCGAGUGGCGGACGGGUGAGGAAUACAUCGGAAUCUACUUUUUCGUGGGGGAUAACGUAGGGAAACUUACGCUAAUACCGCAUACGACCUACGGGUGAAAGCAGGGGAUCUUCGGACCUUGCGCGAUUGAAUGAGCCGAUGUCGGAUUAGCUAGUUGGCGGGGUAAAGCCCACCAAGGCGACGAUCCGUAGCUGGUCUGAGAGGAUGAUCAGCCACACUGGAACUGAGACACGGUCCAGACUCCUACGGGAGGCAGCAGUGGGGAAUAUUGGACAAUGGGCGCAAGCCUGAUCCAGCCAGACCGCGUGGGUGAAGAAGGCCUUCGGGUUGUAAAGCCCUUUUGUUGGGAAAGAAAAGCAGCAGGUUAAUACCCCGCUGUUCUGACGGUACCCAAAGAAUAAGCACCGGCUAACUUCGUG